UUUUUUCUCCUUCCCUUUUGCAGACUUACACCAUAGCCCAAGCUAGCUUGGAAGUCCUUAUAUACUAACCCUAGCAAGCCUAGUGCCUCAGCCUCCCAAGCUUGGGAAUGGCAGGUGUGUGUCACUGCAUCUGCCUUAGACAUGCUUUAAAGGAUCAUUCUUCCUCACAGAAAACCUGGACUGGGAGACUCUUGUGCAUGAGAACCUGCCUGGGCUAAUGGAUAUGGAUCAGGAUGACCGUGUUGUUUGGCCCAGAGAUUCGCUUUUCCGAUAUUUUGAGUUACUGGAAAGCCUUCAGUAUAACCUAGAGGAGCGCAAGAGGUUGCAAGAAUUUGCAGUUCAAGCACUGAUGAAUUUUGAAGACAAGUGAAGGCACAGUGUAUGACACCUGUGUCUUUGGAGCCAGCAAAAGCUAAUGAUGAAAAUAAUUAGAAUUUAAAAUAUAAAUAUCUAAUAAAUACUGCUAAUGAA
rnacentral:lncRNA from 1 species